AGAGUUUGAUCAUGGCUCAGGAUGAACGCUAGCGGCAGGCCUAAUACAUGCAAGUCGGACGGGAUUGGAGAGCUUGCUUUCCAUGAGAGUGGCGCACGGGUGCGUAACACGUAUGUAACCUACCUUUAUCAGGGGGAUAGCCUCUCGAAAGAGAGAUUAAGCCCGCAUAAAAUCACACACUGGCAUCAGUAAAUGAUCAAAUAUUUAUAGGAUAAAGAUGGGCAUGCGGAACAUUAGCUAGUUGGUAAGGUAACGGCUUACCAAGGCUACGAUGUUUAGGGGAUCUGAGAGGAUGACCCCCCACACUGGUACUGAGACACGGACCAGACUCCUACGGGAGGCAGCAGUAAGGAAUAUUGGUCAAUGGGCGGAAGCCUGAACCAGCCAUGCCGCGUGCAGGAAGACGGCCCUACGGGUUGUAAACUGCUUUUAUACGGGAAUAAACCUACUUACGUGUAAGUAGCUGAAUGUACUGUAAGAAUAAGGAUCGGCUAACUCCGUGCCAGCAGCCGCGGUAAUACGGAGGAUCCAAGCGUUAUCCGGAUUUAUUGGGUUUAAAGGGUGCGUAGGCGGCCUGUUAAGUCAGGGGUGAAAGACGGUAGCUUAACUAUCGCAGUGCCCUUGAUACUGAUGGGCUUGAAUGUACUUGAGGUAGGCGGAAUGUGACAAGUAGCGGUGAAAUGCAUAGAUAUGUCACAGAACACCAAUUGCGAAGGCAGCUUACUAAAGUAUGAUUGACGCUGAGGCACGAAAGCGUGGGGAUCAAACAGGAUUAGAUACCCUAGUAGUCC
rnacentral:rRNA from 1 species